rnacentral:rRNA from 1 species
CCCGCUGAACUUAAGCAUAUCAAUAAGCGGAGGAAAAGAANCCAACAGGGAUUNCCUCAGUAACGGCGAGUGAAGCGNUAACAGCUCAAAUUUGAANUCUGGCUCUUUCAGGGUNCGAGUUGUAAUUUGUAGAAGAUGCUUUGGGCAUUGCUCCGGUCUAAGUUCCUUGGANCAGGACGUCAUAGAGGGUGAGAAUCCCGUAUGUGACUGGUGGCAUUUGUCCGUGUAAAGCUCUUUCGACGAGUCGAGUUGUUUGGGAAUGCAGCUCAAAAUGGGUGGUAUAUUUCAUCUAAAGCUAAAUAUUGGCCAGAGACCGAUAGCGCACAAGUAGAGUGAUCGAAAGAUGAAAAGCACUUUGGAAAGAGAGUUAAACAGUACGUGAAAUUGUUGAAAGGGAAGCGCUUGCAACCAGACUUGCAGGUCGUUGAUCAUCCGGGGUUCUCCCCGGUGCACUCGGCGGCUUUCAGGCCAGCAUCGGUUUGAGUGGUGGGAUAAAGGCCUUGGGAAUGUGGCUCCUCUCGGGGAGUGUUAUAGCCCAAGGUGCAAUGCCGCCUACUCGGACCGAGGACCGCGCUUCGGCUAGGAUGCUGGCGUAAUGGUUGUAAGCGACC